rnacentral:misc_RNA from 1 species
CAACAAAAUCAAUGAAUUCACACCUAAAAAGUAAGCAGGUUAUAACACUCAUAUUCAGCAUCAUCAACUUUCCAGUAACAAAGCAUAUCCUGACAAUUACAACAGAAUAACACAAGUGAAAUUUUGAAUAAUCAAGAGACCACAAGGCGAAAGAUGUAUCGGAGUUCACAAUACAUGUCAUUUCAAUAUCUUAGAUGCAACGAAUUCAAACUUUUUGAAGUAGUAUGUAAACCAGAAUAACAUCAACUUCUAAAUACUGUCUUCCUGAAGAAAAAGCUAUAACAAACACAAGUGACUCCAAUACAGAGGUAGCCCGGGUAGACGACAAUCAGUUUGCCUCAGUAGUAUGCUUUCCGCGGAUUGUUCAGUGGAUUUGGCCUGUACUUGUAGCCUAGCAUCAUCCGUUUCUUAUAUUGAUCAUAGAUAUCAUCUUCUGGAGUGACCUCUCCAGGUUGGUGAGCACCAACACCUAAGUUAUUUGAUUUUAUACUGCCAGCUGCUAUUGGAUCUGCAAUACCACUUUUAGAACUCCCUAGUCCUUCACCUUCUCUCCAACCCAUUUUCGAUAGAAGUUUGUGGCCAAUAUUAUCAGCUUGUAUUUUCGACCUUUCUGCUGCCUCUAUGGCUGCUUUCCGAGCACCUACGUCGUUGCAGGUAGACAAAAACUUAGCAAGCUCUUCAGGUGGGAUAUAGUCCCCCAUAUGAUGACCCUUCUUUCCUGGAACUUGGAGAGAAGCAGGUGGAGGCAUCUCAUCUUUCGAUGAUCUCGGUGCCCUCAGUUUCUCUUCAUCUGCAGCUUUCUUCAUGUAAUAUUCCAUCAUCGCUAUUGGAUCUGACCCCGAUGGACCGCUUGAAUGACCAGCAUUUCCAGCCGGUUCUGAAGAACUUGUAUUCUCUGUUGCUCCCCACAAUGCUGAUGCAGGAGUUUGGUAAUUCAAAUGCUGCUGAUGUGACCUAUGAGAACUGCUUGUUGAGCUGGGGGUAGCAGUACUAGUAGCUCUAUGUGAUGUUUGGGCUUCACUGGUCUGUGAUAGAACCUUUUCCUCUUCACUAAGCUGAUAUUCAUAGUAUUUGUAAUCAGGACAGCUUUCAUCAAAUAAGAACUUAAAUGGCGUGUCUCCCGGAUUUUUUUGGCGAGUGAUAUUCUCAAACUGCCUUCCAUGCUUAGCCACAAAACUUGCUAAUUUGUCUGCAACUUUCUUCACUGCUGGAUCACUUGGGGGAUUUGGUGCAACAUCAAUCUGUCUAAGAGGCUGGUGCAGAGCACGAGGUUCCUCCACCCUCUGCCGUUUAAUUGGCCCAUCUCCUGAAGAAUUCCCAGCAUCUUUUUCAUCCUCAUCAUCCUCAUCUUCACCUAGCUUGACAGAAGGUGCAGGUAUUUUGGAUUUCUGUUUCAGGCUGAAUGCAAGUUUCCCACCUGAAGCAACUGUGGCAGUUUUCCGCGAAGAGUUAACUUUAAAUUCCAAGCUUGGCUUACUAAUGACGGCCUUCGGAGUUGAAGCUCCCAAUAUACUGGAGGUUGUCUUAGACUCUUUUGAUGAUGAACCCUUCAAUUUCUCCUUUUCCUUCUCCUGUUGAAGCUGUUUGAACCUCUCCAUG